UAUUAAAUAAACAGCUUAUUAACUUCAUUCAUCUAGAUGUAGACACUGUUCAUAUUCGGCUGGAGCCAGAGAAUAGCAGUGAAUUCUUCACAAACAACAUAUCAUUUCCAAGCUACUUUAAACUGGAUAUUGCCAUAAAACUUCCUCUCUUUCCUUUUCUCUCUAUCACAUAUUUUGGGUCACCAAUUCACAGGAUGGUUAUAUGCGAUUACAAUAGUUGAUGGAGUUCAUUAUGAAUUAUGAGACUGCACAGCAGGUCUGGAGGAACAAAGAAUGCCCAUGGACUUCACAGAUCCUCUAAGACUGAUAAACCGUUAACAUUCAUUUAAGCUGUUGAGGGGAAACCAUUUAUUCACCACUUCAGCAAGACACUAGCUCCAGCCUUCGCAUCAUACUUAGAAAGCAUUCAGUCCACAGUGUGAAGUGGUUGGCAUUUGGAAAGGGCAUCCAACUGUAAAAACCAUGCCAAAACUGACCUUAUCUGUACUGGUGCCAUGUAAAAAGCACUCAGUCCACUCUGUUGGGAUGUUUGGUGUUAGGAAGAGCAUCCAGUCAUAAAAGCCAUGCCAAAACAGACACAGAAGUUUGGUGUAGUCUUCUACCUGGCCAGCUUCUGUCAAACCAUUCAAUCCAUGCCAGCAUAGAAGGUGGACAUUAAACGAUGAUGAUAAUGAUGAUAUCCCGCAACACUAUAUCCCACUUAAUAGAGGGAUUUUGUCUUGUAGACUUGGUGGCCUCAAAAGAACUGGUAUUAUGAAAACAAAGUCCCUUGUACACUCUAUGAAGUAGUUCACACUAGGAAGGACAUCCAGGUGUUGAAAUCAUGCCAAAGUAGACAUUGGAUCUUGGCACAACUCUUCAGCUCAUCAAGACAUGUUGAACCAUCGAACCCAUGCCAUCAUGAAAAAACAGAUGUUAAAAAAUAGUGGUGGUGGUGGUGGUGGUGGUGGCAUGACAGUGAUGAUGAUGAUGAUGACGACUCAAUAUAUCUUUUGAAACAUUACUCCAUAAGUGAAGAACUAUUGCUGUUUGGCCCCAGUGUCCUAGAUGUGUCUUUUUAAGACAGUAGGAUAUGAGGGAUUUGUCUUAUUUAUAGUCACCUCAGUGACUACAAAGAGGCUCCAACACUGGCUUAUCAAACAAAGAGUUCAUGAGGUUGCUUAUCCACUGCUUGGCCUUGAUUCAGCUGAACUAGAACUAAAGGCAUUCUUGUUAUGAGCACCUUAACUUUUGGCAUUUCUAGAACUAUUUUAUCUGCUUUUCUUUUAAUUUAAGGGAGACUUAGCAGCUAUUUCUACCAAUUCAAGUUCACUGACUCAAAGGAAAGGUGACAUAUAGGCAAUAUGUGAAAUAUGGAGAAGGAAAUACACUGACUGAAGAGGAAUGAGUUAAAUAUAGUUAAGGUGUGCAAUUGCCAAUUUACUAGAAGACUGAGUAAGUGACUAGGUAUCAGAAAUAUUACUGGAUAUGCACAUUAAAUACAAAUAUAUUACUUUUAACAUGUAUUGGAAGAUUACAGGUAAGUUUACCCCCAUCAAUUCAUCACAGGAGAGUUCACCACCAUCAGUUCAUCAUGAAGAAAGUUCACCGUGAGGGAAGUUUACUGAGAAAAUAUAUCCAUAGUAUCUCACCAUUGUGUUAAAAAUAACUUUAUUGAAAAAAAAAAAAAGUAAUGAAGAUCAAAACAUGCAAUCAGGGAUUUUAUCUUUUGGAUUAAAACAUAGUAUGUACUAAAUAUGAAGAAGAAAAAAAGCUUAAUUUUAAAUUCAUACUUCUUUACAACAUAAAUCAAUACAAAAUUCAAAUUUACAUUAUUCAAAAUUGUGUUUGAAUCGAUGACGGUGAAUUGAUGACCGUGAACUUACCAGACAUUGGACUGGAAUGUAAAAUAUCUCUAAGAUAACAUAAGGGAGUAUUCAUAUUUGAGUUAGUGGUCAGGGUAUUCAUCCAAUGACGAAAUGGAUUUCCACCAGGAAAUGUACCAUCUGCUCACCUAUUCUCGAAACAGCUGUAAGGGACUAUCUGCACACCUUUUGCCCUCUUCUUAUCCAGCUUUGUAUUCUACCUACAAUGACCAGCUCUACCUAAUACCAGUAAUUUGUAUUAAGCAUAUAACUGUCCUGGGUGAAUACUGGCAUAUAGCAUAACCAUUAUGAACACUCCUCAACUGAUCUUUUAUUGACCUGUUGUGAUCUAAACUCCAUAACAUUCAAUUCUACUCUCAUGUUCUGUCAAUGCUUAAAUAAAUAAAUGUCAUAAUCUGACCUGGCA